rnacentral:rRNA from 1 species
UACGAAGGGGGCUAGCGUUGCUCGGAAUCACUGGGCGUAAAGGGUGCGUAGGCGGGUCUUUUAAGUCAGGGGUGAAAUCCUGGAGCUCAACUCCAGAACUGCCUUUGAUACUGAAGAUCUUGAGUUCGGGAGAGGUGAGUGGAACUGCGAGUGUAGAGGUGAAAUUCGUAGAUAUUCGCAAGAACACCAGUGGCGAAGGCGGCUCACUGGCCCGAUACUGACGCUGAGGCACGAAAGCGUGAGGAGCAAACAGG